rnacentral:lncRNA from 1 species
AGCAUGUUCAACAGGAUUCUAGAGAGAGAGAAGAUGCCUGAGUAAUGGAGGAGAAGCGUUCUGGUGCCUAUUUUUAUAGGUGCCUGCACAUGCAAAAUUCACUUUUUGGACAUUCUGGUACAUUUAUUUGACUCCCUGGGUCAUAUUAAGACACUCCUAGUGUGUUAGAAGUACGCCCCCUACUUAUUUCACAUUUUUGAGAGUUUAUCCAAUCCGGUUCAAGAACCAUUGUUUCAAAUUUGGCGGCCUGGAUACUCUGCAUUCGCUUGACCAAUCACAGAACCAGCUUCGCCCCGCCCCCCCAGACAAACCUGGACUCCUAAAUGUACCUGAAACAUUUCGUUUCAGUCAGUCCAGUCACAGACAAAAGAAGAAGAAGUCACUCGCUGCGCAGUCUACCAUAGGAGGUGGCGCUAAUGCACCUUUCAGUUGGUUGCCACCCGCCAUUUAAAAGACAAAAGAAGAAGUCACUCAGGUUGAAGAAGCGCCCACUUGCUGCUUCCCCAAACUUAAGUACAUGCUUGAUACUUACUUGAUGUAUGUACUCCGGAAGUUUCUUUGUUUAUAAUCUAGCUCCCCUCCUGUGUAAGGAAUGCUAAUUGCUAGAAUAGUUGAUGCUAACAGCUACAGCAACAGAGAGAGACAGUGUUGCAAGGUGCUGACACGCAAUUUGGAUGAGUCCAAGCCUCUCCAGCAUUUGUCCGGUUCAAAUCGUCUGAUAUAUGGCUGGCGCAGCUACCGAAACUCGAGGAGGUUGCUUCUCAAACUGACGCCACUGCAGGCUGUGGACACGCGGCUACCUUGUAGAAGAGUUGUUGCUCACCUCAGGAGCAAAGAGUGGUGUCAAGGAAAACUGCUGCAUCCUCCACCUGUACAGCAGCUGCACUGCUUCCGAUGUCUUCCAACACGUGAAGACAAAAAAGGUCCGCACAUCUCCCCAGCCAACUGCUCAUGACUGUACCUGUUCCACUCCAAAAACUAUGCUUUUAACAUAACUAUUAAUCCCGUUCAUUUUGUGGUCUGCACAUUGAACUGUGAAGGUAACUUAUCCAGCAUUAUAGUGCUGGUGCAUUGGUUGACAAUAAAGUUGGCUUUGACUAUUGCUGUUUCA